rnacentral:rRNA from 1 species
GAAACGUGGUGUAAUACCGGAUGUGGCCGGAGGAUGGCAUCUUCUUCCGAUCAAAUGGUUUUUCGCUUUAGGAGCGGCUUACGGCCUAUCAGGUAGUUGGUGGGGUAAUGGCCUACCAAGCCGACGACGGGUAGCGGGUCUGAGAGGAUGAUCCGCUCGAGUGGGACUGAGACACGGCCCACACACCUACGGGUGGCAGCAGUUGGGAAUCAUUGGCAAUGGGGGAAACCCUGACCAUGCGACGCCGCGCGGAGGAUGAAAGAUCUAGGUCUGUAAACUCCUUUUGCACGGAAAGACUUAGGACGGUACCGUGCGAAUAAGCACCGGCUAACUACGUGCCAGCAGCCGCGGUAAGACGUAGGGUGCAAGCGUUGUCCGGAUUUACUGGGCGUAAAGAGCGCGUAGGCGGUCUGUUAAGUGAGAAGUGAAAUCUCCAGGGCUCAACCCGGAAACUGCUUUUCAUACUGGCAGACUUGAGGGAUGCAGAGGUAUGUGGAAUUCCUGGUGUAGCGGUGAAAUGCAUUGAUAUCAGGAGGAACACCCAUGGCGAAGGCAGCAUACUGGGCAUCAUCUGACGCUGAGGCGCGAAAGCGUGGGUAGCAAACAGGAUUAGAUACCCUGGUAGUCCACGCCCUAAACGAUGGAUACUAGGCGUAAGAGGUAUCGACCCCUCUUGUGCCGCAGCUAACGCAUUAAGUAUCCCGCCUGGGGAGUACGGCCGCAAGGUUGAAACUCAAAGGAAUUGACGG